GUCGCGAACGUGUGCACUUUUCUCCUGGUAGGACGUCGCGAUCCGUUGGGUGUCGGUCUACGGUUUCGGGUGGAGCCCGUCGGUUACACGUUAACCGACGGACCUCGGAUACCUGGCCGACUCGCUCGACGGUAUAAGAAUGGUUCGAGGCCGCUCUCGGAGCGUCCGAUUCGCGGCAAGCGCGUCAGUUGUGUUGGCGAUCGGACCUAGUGCCGAUUCCGACUACUGGCGACUGUUGGCCGCGUUUUUCUCGGACAGAAUUAUCGUA
rnacentral:rRNA from 1 species